ACCCAGACUCCUACGGGAGGCAGCAGUGGGGAAUAUUGCACAAUGGGGGAAACCCUGAUGCAGCGACGCCGCGUGAAGGAAGAAGUAUUUCGGUAUGUAAACUUCUAUCAGCAGGGAAGAAAAUGACGGUACCUGACUAAGAAGCCCCGGCUAACUACGUGCCAGCAGCCGCGGUAAUACGUAGGGGGCAAGCGUUAUCCGGAUUUACUGGGUGUAAAGGGGGCGCAGACGGCAGCGCAAGCCAGGAGUGAAAGCCCGGGGCCCAACCCCGGGACUGCUCUUGGAACUGCGCGGCUGGAGUGCAGGAGGGGCAGGCGGAAUUCCUGGUGUAGCGGUGAAAUGCGUAGAUAUCAGGAGGAACACCGGUGGCGAAGGCGGCCUGCUGGACUGCGACUGACGUUGAGGCCCGAAAGCGUGGGGAGCAAACAGGAUUAGAUACCCGAGUAAA
rnacentral:rRNA from 1 species